rnacentral:rRNA from 1 species
ACGGGUGAGUAACACGUGGGAACGUGCCCUUUGGUACGGAACAACUCAGGGAAACUUGAGCUAAUACCGUAUGUGCCCUUCGGGGGAAAGAUUUAUCGCCAUUGGAGCGGCCCGCGUCUGAUUAGCUAGUUGGUGAGGUAAAGGCUCACCAAGGCUACGAUCAGUAGCUGGUUUGAGAGGAUGAUCAGCCACACUGGGACUGAGACACGGCCCAGACUCCUACGGGAGGCAGCAGUGGGGAAUCUUGCGCAAUGGGCGAAAGCCUGACGCAGCCAUGCCGCGUGAAUGAUGAAGGUCUUAGGAUUGUAAAAUUCUUUCACCGGGGACGAUAAUGACGGUACCCGGAGAAGAAGCCCCGGCUAACUUCGUGCCAGCAGCCGCGGUAAUACGAAGGGGGCUAGCGUUGCUCGGAAUUACUGGGCGUAAAGGGCGCGUAGGCGGACAGUUAAGUCGGGGGUGAAAGCCCGGGGCUCAACCUCGGAAUUGCCUUCGAUACUGGCUGUCUUGAGUACGGGAGAGGUGUGUGGAACUCCGAGUGUAGAGGUGAAAUUCGUAGA